GAGUACUAGGUGGCGGGGGUAACCCCCUUCGGUGCCGCAGCUAACGCAUGAAGUACUCCGCCUGGGAAGUACGCGAGCAAGAGGGAAAGUCAAAGGAAUGGACGGGGGACGGGACGAGUAGCGGAGCAGGUGGUUGAAGUAGAAGCAAAGCGAAGAACCUUACCUAAGCAGGACAUCCCAAUGACAUCUCCUUAAUCGGAGAGUUCCCUUCGGGGACAUUGGUGACAGGUGGUGCAUGGUUGUCGUCAGCUCGUGUCGUGAGAUGUUGGGUUAAGUCCCGCAACGAGCGCAACCCUUGUCUUUAGUUGCCAUCAUUAAGUUGGGCACUCUAGAGA
rnacentral:rRNA from 1 species